CUGGGAUACAGGGCCACGUGCAGCUCCGUUUCCAGUUGAGCACUGCAAUUACUGGGGACAUGAAGCUCACUGGCCUGUCUCAUGUCCUUUGGAAUGAUACCAGAUGGUCAACCUCCUUUCCUUUGGGGAAGAGGGUCCGUACUGCUGUGAAGAAUUUGAGCCUGGGGAAAGGAGGUUAGCUGAAGAGUGAAAAAAUCAAGAUUUGCAAGUCAAAUCAAGUAUUGCAAAACUCCUGUCCUGGAGCCUUUGAAAAUUACCCUCGAGAGACAACGAUUAUGGGAGUUAUGGUGUAGAACAACAUCAUGGAAGUUUAAAUCAGAACUGACCGAGUUUCAAGUCAUUUGGGAAGAUGUCAUCAAGCUUGUUUUUAAAUGGGCUUAAAAGCAGUUUCUGAAGUAGUAAUGAAUACAGGUUGGCCUUCUCUGCACCUCUUCACCUGGCACCAUUAAGUAUAAUUACUUCUAGUGCUCUUCAUGCUGACAGCAUCAAGUGACAGGUAGUUUUCCUGUUGUAGGUGACAUCUCUAAGAUGUCUUGUUGUGUGACUUUGCUGCCAGGAAAGAUAACUUUUACAUUUUAAUCACCAUAUUUCCAUUCAUGGACACUAGGAUGUAAUAGGAAAUUCUUAGGGAAUUGAAUUCUUCCUUGGAGCUGAAACUCCCUAGUUCUUGGAACAGUUUAUCCAUUGGAGAGCUCAGCAAAUGGGUUGUUGCUUUCUUUAGACCUUGACUAAUAAGAAUAGAUUACUCAAGGGAUGAGUGAAAAGGUUAAGUCUUUUUUUUCAGUAAUCAGUGGAUUAACUCAUCUCUGAAUAUCAUUGCUGUUCAUGUAGUUCACACAGUUUAUUAGUACCACAAAGUCUUGGAGACAAGGUUGUAAGUUUCACUCAGGUUCAAUCUGAUAAAGAUUUCAUGCCUGGUUCCUGGAGCAUCUUCUUCAGGUGCUGACCAUUCAGUGCCUUCAGUUGCCUCAGCUGCAAUCAGUCCACACACUUAGCAGAAACCACACCUUGACCAUCUAUGGAGCUGGUCUGUACCACAGCUGCCUUAACCAUUUAUU